rnacentral:rRNA from 1 species
GCGUAACGCGUGGGAAUCUGCCCUCUGGUACGGAAUAACUCAGGGAAACUUGAGCUAAUACCGUAUAAUGACUUCGGUCCAAAGAUUUAUCGCCUGAGGAUGAGCCCGCGUCGGAUUGGCUAGUUGGUGAGGUAAAAGCUCACCAAGGCGACGAUCCGUAGCUGGUCUGAGAGGAUGAUCAGCCACACUGGGACUGAGACACGGCCCAGACUCCUACGGGAGGCAGCAGUGGGGAAUAUUGGACAAUGGGCGAAAGCCUGAUUCAGCAAUGCCGCGUGAGUGAUGAAGGCCUUAGGGUUGUAA